AGCGUAAAUGCAGAUGCUCCAGUGGAUAGCGCGAGCUUCAAACCAAAUGCUAUUGCGAGAUUGCUUUCAGGCAUUGGCACAGUGAAUGGCAGCUGAAAAAUUUUGACCCUUGUUUCUGGAAGUGAAAUGUUAGAUGGUUUGAUGAAGUGCCACAGAGAUUAUCGUUUAAAGAAUGCGUGCAGGCUAACCACCAACACAAGAUAUUAAAAGAGCAAUGAAAAUGAAGAUUUAACUAUAAAGAAAAAUCUGACUAAUAUUAUUACUCAUAACACUUAAUUGUUUCGUAUUACUGUAAAUUUAUGCGAGUUUUCCUGUAUUCUGUUUAUUUUGCAACUUAUGUUAUUGUAAAUUCAUGUAUGUUUUCAUUCUUGCUCUGUCAUGCAUUUCAUACUAAUCGUAAUUAUAUGUGUAUAUUACAUCAUUGAAUUACUGUAUUUGAAUUUCAA